GGCAACGUAGCUUAGGUUGGCAAAGCGGGUUUCUACAAACGUGGCCGAACCCCGGGCGUGGGUGUAGGCAAGUUGUCAAGCGCGAUUCAUCACCUGUUUGGCGAGUUUGGAGUCGUUCCCGGUUCGAGCCCGGGCGGUGUUA